rnacentral:rRNA from 1 species
GGUUCAUUUAUACUUGUAGAAUUGUCUAUAUAGUUAUAAAUGUUUACUAUGCUUUGCUGUUUUAUAUUAUAUAGUGUGUUGAUUGUUAUUGGUUAUUUGUGCUAUUUUUGUUGUAUGUUAUUUGUAUGUUUUGUUUAAAGCAGGCUGCAAAGAAGCAUGCAAUAAUAAUAUUACAAAGAUACAAUAAUAUAUCACCAUAAGCACACUAUUAUAAUAUAAGUAAAAUCUAUUUUCCUCCCUAUUGUUUAUGAAAGUUUCUCUAAGGAGAAUGAUUAGUGCAUGAUUAAGGGUAGGAUAUCUGUUUGCCAUAUUUGUCUAUCAUUGUAUAUAUUAAUUUGAUUGUUACAAUCUUAUUCGUAUAUCGAAUGAGAGUAACAGAUUGAUAGAUUGACUGAAUAUGCAUUCUAGAUAAUUGAAAAAAAAACUACC